rnacentral:tRNA from 1 species
GCCGACGUAGCUCAACGGCAGAGCAGCUGUUUUGUAAACAGCAGGUUAUGGGUUCAAAUCCCUUCGUCGGCUCCC